GAACGACUCUCGGCAACGGAUAUCUCGGCUCUCGCAUCGAUGAAGAACGYAGCRAAAUGCGAUACUUGGUGUGAAUUGCAGAAUCCCGUGAACCAUCGAGUCUUUGAACGCAAGUUGCGCCCGAAGCCAUUAGGCCGAGGGCACGUCUGCCUGGGCGUCACGCA
rnacentral:rRNA from 1 species